AUGACCAGAAUAAAGGCAGAUCCGGAGGGCCCGAGGCUCAGGCGGAGGCGUGCUCCGGGGAGCGCACCGGCCAGCAGCUGCUGGUCAACCAGAACCCCAUCGCGCAGCCUCUGGCUUCUCGCCGCCCCACGCGGAAACUCUACAAACGCAUCAAGAAAGCUGUGAAGCAGAAGCAGAGUCGGCGCGGGGUGAAAGAGGUUCAGAAAUUUCUCCACAAAGGAGAAAAAGGGGUCAUGGUUUUGACAGAAGACACACUGCCCAUUGAGGUGUACUGCCAUCUCCCAGCCAUGUGUGAGGACCGAAAUUUGCCGUAUGUCAAUAUCGCCUCUAAGACGCGCCUGGGUGCAGCCUCGGGCUCCAAGCGCCCCACCCAUGUGAUAAUGGUCAAGCCCCAGGAGGCCGACGACGAGUGCCUGGGGGAGGUGCAGUCCCUGCCCCUGGCCCUGUGAGGGACCCCGUAGCACCUGGGCACCUGCUUCUGGAAGCUACUGGGCUGGCGGGGGGAUGACUGGCUGUCCUGCCCACCCACACUGUCCGCAUCUUCCCAGGCAGCUCUCACAGCCCAGUCAUGAAGGCAACGCCCACCUUGUCUUCAUCAGGGCCAUUUCCUGUGGAACUUAGUAAAGGCUGUUCGGAUAAUGUGGGGUGGGGAAAGUA